GUGGGAUGGUGGCUGGGUUGCACUUUGUGUACUGUAAAGAGCUGUGGUAUGGCUUCUAGGAUCGUUGUUAAUAUGAAGAAGAAGAAGAAGAAGAAGAAGAAGAAGAAGAAGAAGAAGAAGAAGAAGAAGAAGAAGAAGAAGAAGAAGAAGAAGAAAGAGGAAUAGACUUUGGGCUGGAUCCUCAACUCCCUAUGUUUGGAAGCACCUUCUCAUAAAUCUUCUCAUGUAGUUGUCUGGACACUGCGUUGGGGAGCCUAUUUCCUCUCAAGAACAGGAUCCCUGAAUCUAAUUUCCUUUGCCUAGUAUCCUCCCUGAACAUGACCAAUAACAACUUGUUACCAACCCCCCUAAGCAAUGACAAGCCUCCAUUGAAUAACCAAAAACCACUCACCCUGCCUUUUGUGAAUGUGGGUAUCAUGUUCUUAAAAUUAUUUUCUAUUGUCUGGGAGCAAUUGUGGUGAUAUUUUGUUUAUGAUCUAACAAAUAUAGCUUGCCUGAAGAUCAGAGUGCAAAGAUAGCCACAGCCAUAGAGGCCAGGCAGUGAUGGCACACUCCUUUAAUCCCCAGCAGCCAUGCUAGUUAGCCAUAGAGGUCAGGCAGUGAUGGUACACACCUUUAAUCCCAUCACUAGAGACAGGAGCUCAUUGUAGUCUGGUUUGGUGGACAGGAGAGCAGUCUAAGGUUCAGUGGAUCACUCUUUCAGUCUGAGCGUUGGUAGAGGUGAGAACUCUCUAGUGGCUGGCCACUUUGCUUUUCUGAUCUUCAGUUUUAACCCCAAUAUUUGUCUCUGGAUUUUUAUUAUUAAUGCCAACUAGAAUUCAUGCCACAGGUGAUGGCAUCUUUAGGGGACCCUGAGAAAAUUAAGAUAAUGGUCAAGUUCUGGAGGAGCUAGUUGUCCAGUCUUGGUGUGAUGGAAUUGGGGAAGGAUUAUCUGAAGUCCCGACUGGAGUAGUCUAUGAGGCUGGACCAUCUUAGCUACUGCAUUGAAAUUGUCCUGAGCAGUUUUUAGUCUAGAGCUGACCUUUGCAUGGUGUUUGCCAGUUUGGUGGUAUUAUCAUAAUCCAGGGUAUUCAUCAUUGUGGGAACCCAACAUCUCUUUGGAAACUCAAAGCUCACUGUUCGGAGUGGUCAUGGUUCACUGAAGGAAACUUAAAGAAUUUAAAUGUCAUAUGCAG
rnacentral:lncRNA from 1 species